CAGCCCGUCCUCCGCGCGGCUCCGCGUAAAGGAGAAAGGACUUUGAGUUAAAUCAGCGCUUCGCGGUGAAGGUGCCUCGGCACGGCGCUUAGAGCUGACAGACGUGGCGGUGCCACAGAAAGAGACGACGGAGGGACGCCGCACCUGGAGCAAGCUCCCAGGCGGCCGCAGUCCCCAUUUUCCCUUGCUGGCAGCUCAGCUCUCCUACGUGGCUGAUGGCAAAGCCACGAAGCCGUGAGGUCGUGCAGGCCUGCCCCAUUGCCAGGAAUGGCUGCCCUCAGUUGUGCUUGGAAUGCAUGAGGCUCUUCUCUGUGAUUUGCGUUCUUGCACUCAGCCUCAGAAAAGCAAGAAAACAACCCUCCUGGUUCAUCUUUCUUUGUGCAACACUAGAUUUACCUGCAGAGGUUCUCCUUCAAAAAGUCAUGGUAUAAUAACAGCAUCGCUUUCCAGAACAAUCCCUUACUAAUCCAAUAAAGGCAAGAGGGUGCUUCACUUUGGCAGAGAACUGCAUCAACACAACAGCACUCAAAACCAAUUGAGUGAAAUACUUCAUUCCAGCAAGGAAUCUAUUAUUUGGCUACAAUCCCAUGGAGGAUUUCAAACAAUUGAUAUGUCAUUACCAUGGCAGGACAAUGGCCAAGAUGUGAUGACUCAGAUUGUCCCUCUGGCACAUGAAGCACAGCACAACAUGUUGGGCACAGGAACUGGAGAGAGAGGAGACCGAAAUGCUGUCCUGUGCUUCUCAAUUGGAGAAUGAGCUUCUUGAAUCUAUUUCACACUGUCGCUGUUUGGGCUGAGCGUUGCAGUGACAACAAUCUGUUUCACACUCAAAUUUGAGAAGUUUGCAAUCUUAAUACCUGAAGUUUCUUCUUAAUCUUCUGAGGAUAUGACUGUCAUCAUACGAAUACUACUACGUUCAUGUAUCAACACUGCAAAUAUGUAUUGGAAAUUCAUAUCUGUUGUGUUCUGGUGAAUACAAUGAAAGAUUUGUGUGCUGUCUUCAGGGAGAUCUCUCAGACAAGAAUCAUGAUCAGGAGCUAUGGUAGUGAAAGUCUUUGCAACAAGAAAGGUAAGAACAGUUUUACAGAAAAAUUCAAGUGAGCUACACUUGCCAGAGAGCAGCAGUUACACCAUAAAGAUUUUUAAAGCCAUGGCAAAUUGAAAGACUUUUAGAAGUCACAGUGGAUCUUUCCUAUAAAUGCAAAGUUAACAGAAUGUCUGGGUCAUCCCUUCCCUUCACUGACAAAAAACCAAACCAAAAACCCACCACAACAGUGCAUCUCUGUAGAGUACGCUAUACAAAGAACAAAGGGCUGUCGUAAGCAGCCUGAAGUUCAAAGGCAUAACAGAGCAUAGCACAGUGAGAGGACACGUAACAGACAGAUUGUUAUGCCAUACCUCGUGUAUUUUCAGUAAAAUACUUUUCUGAACAUAGGCAGAGGUCUGCGUUCUAUUCUGUCUGAGUUCUUACCCUGUGGUAUAGGGAAAAGUAUUUCCUAGACUGUAAUAACUGGAAAGUAGUACUCAGAAAUAAAAUUAAGCAACAAACAAACAUCAAAAGCAACAACUACAACAACAAAUGGAAGCCAGGAACAAAGGAAUAAUGCAGCUCUCAGCCACAUGAAAGCUCUUGCACAGUUCUGCAAAGAGGAAGGAAAGCAAAAUUCAUUACCAGAGGCUCACUGUACCACGACUCAGGGCAGUUUGUAAUGACAUCGCUGAUGAAAGGAGAAAAGAGGAAAUAGUGGCACAACUGGUUGCAUUUGGUAACGAAGAAGAGUAAUGUUUCAAACUGGAAAAUGCAAUUCCAGACAGGAAUACACAGCAACUCUGACUCAUACCCUCUAAGACUGUCCCAAAGGUUUAGUUAUUGUUUCUUUUUUCU